rnacentral:lncRNA from 1 species
CCUCCAGAAUUUCCUAUUUUAAAACAAUACUGGACUAAAAUGUAACAUUCCUGAAGUAAGGAAAAUCACUUCAUGUAAAAGCAGAGUUUGAACUAUGGAACACAAGUCAGUGGAUGCAACCUGCUUGUAUGGUAAGGCUUCAUUUAUAAGGUCCAAGUCAAACUAUCUACAAAGAGUCUUGAAUUGGUACAUCCAUAUAGUGAAAUCCUAUGAAGCAUUUGGAAAACAGUGAAGCAGAUCUAUGUAUACUGCUGUGGAAAGAUAUCCAAGACAUGUUGUGGGGUCAAAGAUAAGUCACAAAACAGUAUGUAUAUUAUGAUUGCAUCUGUGUAUGGUAAUGUAUAUAAACUUUACUAUGUACAGAAAAUGUCUGGAAGCAUCCAUGGAGAAACUGUUCGUGGCAGUUACCGCUCAUAAAUUCAGCAGAUAAGGAUUUUACUUUUCACUUUAUAUCCUUUCAUGUUAUUUUAAAAUAUUCUUAAAAUCAAGAGCUUGUAUUAUUUGUAUAAGUUUAACAUAUUCCUUUAAAAGCACAGAGAGAUCUUUACAGUGGUUUCCUCCAGAAACCACUUAUUUACCAUUACAGUGUUUGAUAAUUGAAAUGAAAAAGUUAAAACUGUUCCUUUUGUAGUUAACAUCAUUGUAAUGUUCCUACGAUAGCUUUUAUUAAUGAAUUUCCAUGGGGGACAGAAGAGAAAAACGCACACAACGGUAUUACAAAACAGAAAAAAAAUAAGGCACUUGCUAGGACAAGGCAAUCCACAAGUGCCAACCAGCUCCAGGGCCAUAAAGAUCUCAGGAGAGCCAUCACAUUUCAAUUACCAUCACUAACAUUACUUAUUAUUUGGCCUGCUCCAGUCCCUAAGGAAGGCAGCUUGUGAUGAUAAUACCCAGCCUCUUCUUGUAAAACAAUUCAUUAGGCAAAGCAGAACAGCUGGGGCAGCCACGUGCGGGUUCUUAAAGCACCGCCCCACUGGGACCUCUGGCCCAGAUUUCCCUUUUCGUGACGGACAGUCACCACCCCUCUGACAGCUGUAGAGUCCUCCGGGGACACUUCAGGUUUAAUCAGUACUUCCUGCACUGGAGAGGGUCAUUUGAUUUCUAACAUAAACUAAUGGCAAUCCUGCUUACAGCAGGUUACACCAGACAUCAGAUAAGAGGCUUUAGGGCAUUUUUAUCUUGUUCUAAUGCUCGAGAGUUAAUGAGGCAGCAAAAGAUAUUGUCAUAGAGCCCCGGUGUAGCUAUAUUAUCCAAUAAACAGACUCUUUCCAAGACAGGUUUAAUAUGGAUCGAGGAGGUAAAGAAGGCUAGCUUAAUAUUGAUCCUACUGAGAGGAUGAGAAUCCAGUCACCAUAACUAGGGCAAAAUCAUGCACAUUCUGCAGUAGACAAAGUGCUACAAGAAGCAUUAAGAAAGCCUUGAAGACAGAUCUGAUCUGACAAAAUGGACACUGUCUCCACUGUUAAUUUGCAUUUUUCAAGAGCUCCAUAGCUGCAUGUUGAUGAUUCUGUCAUGCACAAAAGGUAGGGUUGAGAAACAUUAUUUCAGCUUUGCGUCUUUCUCUUUUUUUAAUUAAAAUGUACUCAGAACCUAUUAUGUGACAAGCAAAACACUUUACAUGCAUCAAGUCAUUUACCUCCAAAUCAACUCUAUAAAGUAGGUAUUUUUUUCACAUUAAAAAAAACAAAAAAACAAAAACACAUACAUUGGCUCACACCUGUAAUCCUAAUGCUA